rnacentral:rRNA from 1 species
GUGGGGAAUCUUGCGCAAUGGGCGAAAGCCUGACGCAGCCAUGCCGCGUGAAUGAUGAAGGUCUUAGGAUUGUAAAAUUCUUUCACCGGGGAAGAUAAUGACGGUACCCGGAGAAGAAGCCCCGGCUAACUUCGUGCCAGCAGCCGCGGUAAUACGAAGGGGGCUAGCGUUGCUCGGAAUUACUGGGCGUAAAGGGCGCGUAGGCGGACAGUUUAGUCAGAGGUGAAAGCCCAGGGCUCAACCUUGGAAUUGCCUUUGAUACUGGCUGUCUUGAGUACGGGAGAGGUGAGUGGAACUCCGAGUGUAGAGGUGAAAUUCGUAGAUAUUCGGAAGAACACCAGUGGCGAAGGCGACUCACUGGCCCGUUACUGACGCUGAGGCGCGAAAGCGUGGGGAGCAAACAGGAUUAGAAACCCCUGUAGUCC